rnacentral:rRNA from 1 species
GAUCAUGGCGUCAGGAUGAACGCUGGCGGCGUGCCUACCACAUGCAAGUCGACGGGUAAGUGAAUUUCGGAUGGAGCUAACUAGUGGCGGACGGGUGGAGUAACGCGUGGAUAACCUGCCUCACACUGGGGGAUAGCAGCUGGAAACGGCUGGUAAUACCGCAUAAGACCACAGCACCGCAUGGUGCAGGGGGUAAAAAGAUUUUAUCGGUGUGAGAUGGAUCCGCGUCUGAUUAGCCAGUUGGCGGGUAACGGCCACCAAAGCGACGAUCAGUAGCCGGCCUGAGAGGGUGAACGGCCACAUUGGGGACUGAGACACGGCCCAAACUCCUACGGGAGGCAGCAGUGGGGAAUAUUGCACAAUGGGCGCAAGCCUGAUGCAGCAACGCCCGCGUGAGUGAAGAAGUAUCUCGGUAUGUAAAGCUCUAUCGGCAGGGAAGAAAGGCCCUUAACAGGGAGAUGACGGUACCUGACUAAGAAGCCCCGGCUAACUACGUGCCAGCCGCUGC